rnacentral:rRNA from 1 species
CCUACGGGAGGCAGCAGUGAGGAAUAUUGGUCAAUGGGCGAGAGCCUGAACCAGCCAAGUCGCGUGAGGGAUGACGGCCCUACGGAUUGUAAACUUCUUUUGUCGGGGAGCAAUGGCGUGCACGCGUGGGCGGAGGGAGAGUACCUGCAGAAAAAGCAUCGGCUAACUCCGUGCCAGCAGCCGCGGUAAUACGGAGGAUGCGAGCGUUAUCCGGAUUUAUUGGGUUUAAAGGGUGCGUAGGCGGAAUAUCAAGUCAGCGGUAAAAUGUCGGGGCUCAACCCCGUCGGGCCGUUGAAACUGGGGAUCUUGAGUGGGCGAGAAGUAUGCGGAAUGCGUGGUGUAGCGGUGAAAUGCAUAGAUAUCACGCAGAACUCCGAUUGCGAAGGCAGCAUACCGGCGCCCGACUGACGCUGAGGCACGAAAGCGUGGGGAUCGAACAGGAUUAGAUACCCGGGUAGUC